rnacentral:sRNA from 1 species
GCCGGGCAUGGUGGCACACGCCUUUAAUCCCAGCACUCGGGAGGCAGAGGCAGAUGGAUUUCUGAGUUCGAGGCCAGCCUGGUCUAUACAGAGAAACCCUGUCUCAAAAACAAAAACAAAAACAAAAACAAACAAAAAACACGGUUUCCCUAUGUAGCUUUUGUCAUCUUGGAACUCACUCUGUAGAUCCGGCUGGCCUCAAACUCAUAGAUAAUUUCCUGCCUCU